UCGAGAUUUGGUCUUGCUUUCAGAGGGUCAUCGGUUACAGCAUAGAGUAUAUUCUGUUUAGAAACAAAUCAAAAAGACUAAUGCCACAUCUUUUAUCACUGUAAAUGGGACUGAUAACUCUUCUCGCCUGCCUUUUCUCUUGCCUUAAUUAGAUACUCCAGCCAAAAAGGAUGGAACAACCUUGCCAGCAAAAUGUGAAACUGGAGGUACAGCCACUUUAGGUCAUGUUUCCUCAGAUGUGAGGCCCAGUGAGAACCAAAGAGAGAAACAACACAUUUCAAAACCCAGCAGUACAACAUCAGUGAGACACAGAUCCAAGACUCACACUCAGUUGAUAAAAGAGAAGUUGCACCAGAUCAAAGCUGAGAUUCAGAAGAUCUCUAAAGUCCACCUGCAUCAGUGCCCUGAGAGGAAAGCAUAUCGUCCUUUUGUGUGGAAUGCUCUGAGUCCAUACGACACCACUGAGAUUGACAAUCUCCUUACAAUGAUAACUGAUCCAGACAGAAGAAAUUGCUAUUCUUCAGUGAAGACAGAACGUCUAAAUGUCACUUUACUUUAAAUUGCUGAAUAUGCCUGAAUAUGCCUCAAACACACAACCA
rnacentral:lncRNA from 1 species